rnacentral:rRNA from 1 species
UACGUAGGUGGCAAGCGUUGUCCGGAAUUAUUGGGCGUAAAGCGCGCGCAGGCGGUCCUUUAAGUCUGAUGUGAAAGCCCCCGGCUCAACCUGGGAACUGCAUUUGUGACUGCAUGGCUCGAGUCCGGAAGAGGCGAGUGGAAUUCCUGGUGUAGCGGUGAAAUGCGCAGAUAUCAGGAGGAACACCGGUGGCGAAGGCGGGUCUCUGGGCCGAUACUGACGCUGAGGAGCGAAAGCGUGGGGAGCAAACAGG